UUUUUUUUUUUUUUUUAAUACCAUUUUGAGAGUAAUUUUAAAGACUAAUGCGAAAGUUCGGGAGCACAUUGUAUAUUUGAAAUAAGUGUAGUGUGUGCAAAGACCAUUUUCUACCUGUGGAUAAAAAUCAAUUCCCCCAAAGGCCUAAAAGCAUGAACAAUGUUUAUUUUGAGUAAAUAAUUAAACUACAUAUUUAACAUGGAAAAAAUUAAAUGAAUGUCAAAACCAAAAUUAAGAACUAUAAGCAAAGCAUGCAGUCUCUGUUAACAAAACUUAGUUGUGAAACUACAUUUUUCAUUUUGUAAAUGCCAUUAUUUCAUUUCAUAAAAUGUAAAAAUCCUCAGUAUCAUUCUUUACACUUGAUGCGGCAAACACUUCUUUCCUAUUUUCCUCGUAUUUCCUGCAAAAUAAAUCUACAUCUCAAGUUCCUUAUAGUUCAUACUUUCUUCUCAACAUAUUUGAGACCUUCAGGUCCAGGCCUAUUUUCUCUUCCCGUUAAAAUCUUACAUGCAGCUUGAGAACUAGCUAUGAGGAAACAGUUAGUUAUUACUUACCAAAACACACAAUUUAAGGUUACCAAUUUUGUGGGCUCUAACAGAAUGAUUGUGUUGUACCAAAAAAAAAA
rnacentral:lncRNA from 1 species